ACUUAGAUAGGCGGUGUUGGCUCCAACGAAGCAAGAUUAAUAAGAAUACAAUGCAGAAAACAGCGUAAGCAUACCAAGUUCAUACAAUGAUACUAUAAUACUUUAGCUAGUUUAUACGUGUAGGACAUAAAGAACUUGUUGAAUAUUGGAUCCUAUUUUUGGUCUUUGAUCUUUGGUCAUUAAUCAUUGGUCAAUGGUCUUUGGUCAUCACUCCUUUAAUGGGUCAAGGGAACAUAUUACCAUUAUCUCAUUAAUGUUACUCCUUUGGUGAAAAUGAGUCCAACUCAUUUCCUUUUCUACCCUCUAGUUCUUGGCUAUAAAAGGAGGCCAAAUGGAAGAGGAAAUACACACCAAAAUUGAUAGAGUAUAUCUUAGAGAGAAGAAGAGCAAAGCUCUAGUUUGAGUGUCAAAGAGAGUUAGAGAGUGAGAAGCUCAGUUAGAGCAUUCAGAGAGUGAGGGUGUAGAGAGAAAUAAACAGUUAGUUUAUUUCUCAGUUGAGAGUUUGUAAUCUCCAUAUUAUUUUCAUAGUGAUUUUCUGAGAUCUCUUCCCGUGGUUUUUCCCAGUUGGGUUUCCACGUAAAAUUCUUGUGUUAUUAUUUUAUAUCUCAUACAGUAGUGUGUUUGUAUAAAUCUUAGUAUAUUUGUGUGAGCUUGAUUUCUCAACAAUUGGUAUCAAAGCUCUCGGUUCACACCAACGAUCAGUUUAAAGAGAAAUUAGGCAGGUCACAAAUACGAAGAUGGCAAGCACAAGUGCGAGGUAUGAAGUUGAACCAUUUGACGGUAAGUCAAAUUUCAGUAUUUGGCAGUGUACAGUCAAAGAUGUAUUGGCUCAACAAGGAUUGACAAAGGCACUAGAAGGGAAGAAACCAGCGACUAUGACGGAUGAAAAAUGGGUGGAACUUGAAGCUAAGGCCGUGGCAACAAUCAGAUUGAGUUUGGCGCCACAGAUCAAAUAUCAGGUUUUGACAGAAACCUCUUCGAAGGACUUGUGGGAGAAACUUGAGAAAGUUUACAAGUCAAAGUCUCUGUCAAAUCGGUUAUAUUUGAAGAAGGAAUUGUACCGGCUUCGGAUGGAAGAAGGGUCAGAUUUGGCCAAUCAUAUUAAUGAGUUUAAUAGAUUGGUGACCCAACUAACCAGUAUUGAUGUGAAGUUGGACGAAGAAGAUAAAGCCUUAUUGCUUCUUGUCUCUCUACCAGAUUCAUACUCAACUCUCCAGACUACACUCCUUGUAGGGAAGGAAAAGCUUGCAGUUGACGAUGUGAUGUCAGCAGUACUGGACCAGGAUAAGUUCAAGGGCACUACUUCCAGAGAUCAAGGAGACAGUCUUCUUACUUUUUCAAAUGGGCGUGGCAGGGGUCCUAAUCAAAAGAAGUAUUCCGGCAAGGAACGAGAAAGGUCUCAGUCGAGACCAGGCAAGAAGGAUAAAUCUCAGGUUGAAUGUUAUCAUUGCCACGAGAAGGGCCACUACAAAAAUCAGUGUCCAUUGUUGAAGAAGGAUAACAAGAAGAAAGGAAAGCAGAUUGAAAAAUCUGCUAAUGUUGCUGAGCAAGCAGAUGUGUGCAGCGACGGAGAGCUGUACACAGUGACAGAAAAUGAAGCUUCACAAGGUGAUCUCUUAUCUGUUAGAGACAGUGGCAGCCUUACAGAUUGGUACAUGGAUUCCGGUUGUUCUUUUCAUAUGUCCCCUCAUAGGGAUUGGUUUGAUACUUUUACAUCCUGCAAUGGUGGUACAGUUUUAUUGGGUAACAAUGCAGUCUGCAAAGUUACUGGGAUAGGCACCAUAAAAAUUAAAAUGUUUGACGGAGUUGUUAGAACAUUGGGUGAUGUAAGGUAUAUUCCAGAAUUGAAGAAGAGCUUGCUAUCGGUUGGAGUACUUGACUCUAUAGGUUGCAGUAUCUCAGUCAGAGAUGGUGUCAUGAAAAUUACCAAGGGCUCGAUGGUAAUUAUGAAGGGCCAGAAGAAGGGCACCCUCUACAAGUUGAUAGGGGACACAGUUGCUGGUGGAGCAGCAAAUUCUGUGCAGGAUAAUUCCAACAGUGAUAGCACAGAAUUAUGGCACAUGCGACUUGGUCAUUUGAGUGAAGGUGGAAUGAAAGAACUUCACAUAAGGCAGUUGCUGAAAGGUGUCAAAACGUGCAGUUUGGAAUUUUGCAAGUUUUGCGUGUACGGCAAACAACGGAGGGUCAGCUUCAAGGCAGGAGCACAUACCAGUAAGAAUGUACUUGAUUAUGUACAUUCAGAUGUGUGGGGCCCGAUCAAGCAUACGUCAAUGGGUGGAGCCCAUUAUUUUGUUAGCUUUAUAGAUGACUACUCCAGAAAGGUGUGGGUGUAUUUUAUGAAGCAGAAAUCCGAGGUUUUCAGAAUCUUCAAGCAGUGGAAAGCUAAAGUAGAGAACCAGACCGGAAAGAAGCUGAAGUAUUUCAGAUCAGAUAAUGGCACAGAAUACAAGGACAGGUCAUUCCUACAGUUCUGUCAGGAUGAAGGUAUCACCAGGCACUUCUCAGUCAAAAGAACUCCAGAGCAAAAUGGGGUUGCCGAGAGGAUGAACAGAACUCUAUUGGAACGUGCCAGAUGUAUGAGAUUGAAUGCAGGAUUGCCCAAGAGUUUCUGGGCUGAGGCAAUCAAUACAGCGUGUUAUCUGAUAAAUCGAUCUCCUUCAGCAGGAAUUGAUUACAAAAUCCCCGAAGAGGUAUGGAGUGGGAAACCAGUUGAUUUUUCUGUGAUGAAAAUCUUUGGUUGUCCAGCUUAUGCUCAUCUGCCAGUCGAAGAGCGACAGUCCAAGCUUGAUCCAAGGUCAAAAGAGUGUAUUUUCCUUGGAUAUGAAGAUGGUGUCAAGGGAUACAGGUUAUGGGAUCCAGUAUCCAAGAAGAAGGUUGUCAGCAGAGAUGUGGUGUUCAAUGAGAAACACAUGCUGAACAAGUCCGAGAAUGAAGAAUCUGCAGCAAGUGAGUUGCAAAAACACCCAGUUGAGGUGGAGCUUCCUGAAGAGAUUGAAGAUGAUCAACCUUCACAUCCUCAAGAGAGGUCCUAUAAUCUUGUUAGAGAUCGGGAAAGGCGAGUCAGUAAACCAGUGUAGAGAUAUGGAUUUGAAGACAUGGUUGCCUUUGCCUUGAUUGCUGGUAGUGGAGAUCCAACUAGCUAUCAGGAUGCUAUUCAGUCCGAUGAUAAUGAUAAAUGGGCGAUAGCUAUGGCAGAAGAGAUGGAAUCUUUACAAAAGAACCAGACAUGGGAGUUAGUUCAACUUCCAAAAGGAUCGAAGGCUAUAGGAUGCAGGUGGGUGUUCAGGAAAAAGGAAGCUCAGUCUGAUAAAGAAGGUGAAAGAUUCAAGGCCAGAUUAGUGGCAAAGGGAUUCUCUCAGAGAGAGGGAAUCGACUACAAUGAGAUCUUCUCACCAGUUGUGAAACACACAUCGAUUCGGUUGAUCUUAUCUAUUGUAGCAUCACAGGAUAUGGAGUUAGAACAGCUUGAUGUGAAAACAGCUUUUCUCCACGGUGAUUUAGAAGAAAAGAUCUACAUGAAGCAGCCUGAGGGGUUUAUUGAACCAGGGAAAGAGGGUUUAGUUUGCAGUUUAAAGAAGUCCCUCUAUGGUUUGAAGCAGUCCCCAAGACAGUGGUAUAUGAAGUUUGAUAACUUCAUGAUGGCUCAUGGUUACUCUCGUUCGGAGUAUGAUCCAUGUGUGUAUUUCAGAUCCCUUGAUGAUGGCUCUCUAGUAUUGUUAACGUUAUAUGUCGAUGACAUGUUGAUAGCAGCAAAGAGGAAGUCAGAUAUUCUUCAGCUGAAGAAUUUGUUGAGCAGUGAAUUUGACAUGAAGGAUCUUGGGUCAGCUAAGAAGAUCCUAGGUAUGGAAAUUCACAGGGAUCGUCAAGCAGGAAAGUUGUGGCUAACUCAGAAAGGAUAUGUGCAGAAGGUCUUAGAGAGGUUUAACAUGAACAAUGCUAAACCAGUUAGCACUCCGUUGGCAGCACAUUUCAGGUUAUCUUCACAGUUGAGCCCACAAACAGAGGACGAGGUGGAGUAUAUGUCCAAAGUACCGUAUGCAAAUGCGGUGGGUUGUCUAAUGUACGCCAUGGUAUGUACAAGGCCAGAUAUCUCACAAGCAGUCAGCGUGGUUAGCAGGUAUAUGGCAAAUCCAGGAAAAGAGCAUUGGAAUGCAGUAAAAUGGAUUUUUCGUUAUCUAGCAGGUACAACCAAUUACGGUCUUAUGUUUGAUCGUGAUACCGCAAGAAGUGAGGUUACAGGGUUCGUUGAUUCGGAUUAUGCUGGAGACCUAGAUGCAAGGAGAUCUACGACAGGGUUUGUAUACACCUUUUGUGGAGGAUGUAUAUGUUGGAGGUCAGUGUUGCAGUCUACGGUAGCAUUAUCAACAACAGAGGCUGAGUAUAUGGCAUUGACAGAGGCAAGCAAGGAGGCUUUGUGGCUUAAGGGACUAGUUGAAGAACUAGGUUUCAAGCAAGGCAGUAUCCAGAUUCAGUGUGAUAGUCAAAGUGCUAUUCAUUUAGCAAAGAACCAAGUGUUCCAUGCCAGAACCAAACAUAUAGAUGUUCGGUAUCACAAGAUUCGUGAGUGGUUGAACAAUGGUGACAUUGCAGUUCACAAAGUUCACACAAAGGAGAAUGCCGCAGAUAUGCUCACAAAGUCAGUUACAGCAGAAAAGUUCAAGCACUGUUUGGACUUAAUUCACUUCGUCUAAUGUUGAGUUCGUAGUGGAGUAUCCAGGGAGAGGGAUACAUUCACAGACACAAAGAAGAUCACAGUAUUUGGAAAAUAUGAGCCAAGGUGGAGAUUGUUGAAUAUUGGAUCCUAUUUUUGGUCUUUGGUCUUUGGUCAUUAAUCAUUGGUCAAUGGUCAAUGGUCCUCACUCCUUUAAUGGGUCAAGGGAACAUAUUAAUGGGUCAAGGGAACAUAUCACCAUUAUCUCAUUAAUGUUACUCCUUUGGUGAAAAUGAGUCCAACUCAUUUCCUUUUCUACCCUCUAGUUCUUGGCUAUAAAAG
rnacentral:lncRNA from 1 species